GAACGCUGGCGGCGUGCCUAAUACAUGCAAGUCGAACGCUUCUUUUUCCACCGGAGCUUGCUCCACCGGAAAAAGAAGAGUGGCGAACGGGUGAGUAACACGUGGGUAACCUGCCCAUCAGAAGGGGAUAACACUUGGAAACAGGUGCUAAUACCGUAUAACAAUCAAAACCGCAUGGUUUUGAUUUGAAAGGCGCUUUCGGGUGUCGCUGAUGGAUGGACCCGCGGUGCAUUAGCUAGUUGGUGAGGUAACGGCUCACCAAGGCCACGAUGCAUAGCCGACCUGAGAGGGUGAUCGGCCACAUUGGGACUGAGACACGGCCCAAACUCCUACGGGAGGCAGCAGUAGGGAAUCUUCGGCAAUGGACGAAAGUCUGACCGAGCAACGCCGCGUGAGUGAAGAAGGUUUUCGGAUCGUAAAACUCUGUUGUUAGAGAAGAACAAGGAUGAGAGUAACUGUUCAUCCCUUGACGGUAUCUAACCAGAAAGCCACGGCUAACUACGUGCCAGCAGCCGCGGUAAUACGUAGGUGGCAAGCGUUGUCCGGAUUUAUUGGGCGUAAAGCGAGCGCAGGCGGUUUCUUAAGUCUGAUGUGAAAGCCCCCGGCUCAACCGGGGAGGGUCAUUGGAAACUGGGAGACUUGAGUGC
rnacentral:rRNA from 1 species